rnacentral:rRNA from 1 species
GACGAACGCUGGCGGCGUGCUUAACACAUGCGAGUCGAACGGAAAGGCCCUGCUUUUGUGGGGUGCUCGAGUGGCGAACGGGUGAGUAACACGUGAGUAACCUGCCCUUGACUUUGGGAUAACUUCAGGAAACUGGGGCUAAUACCGGAUAGGAGCUCCUGCUGCAUGGUGGGGGUUGGAAAGUUUCGGCGGUUGGGGAUGGACUCGCGGCUUAUCAGCCUGUUGGUGGGGUAGUGGCUUACCAAGGCUUUGACGGGUAGCCGGCCUGAGAGGGUGACCGGCCACAUUGGGACUGGGAUACGGCCCAGACUCCUACGGGAGGCAGCAGUGGGGAAUAUUGCACAAUGGGCGGAAGCCUGAUGCAGCAACGCCGCGUGCGGGAUGACGGCCUUCGGGUUGUAAACCGCUUGCGCCUGUGACGAAGCGUGAGUGACGGUAAUGGGUAAAGAAGCACCGGCUAACUACGUG